rnacentral:rRNA from 1 species
GAAUUUAGCAGAGAUGCUUUAGUGCCUUCGGGAACUCUGAGACAGGUGCUGCAUGGCUGUCGUCAGCUCGUGUUGUGAAAUGUUGGGUUAAGUCCCGCAACGAGCGCAACCCUUAUCCUUUGUUGCCAGCACGUAAUGGUGGGAACUCAAAGGAGACUGCCGGUGAUAAACCGGAGGAAGGUGGGGAUGACGUCAAGUCAUCAUGGCCCUUACGAGUAGGGCUACACACGUGCUACAAUGGCGCAUACAAAGAGAAGCGACCUCGCGAGAGCAAGCGGGACCUCAUAAAGUGCGUCGUAGUCCGGAUUGGAGUCUGCAACUCGACUCCCAUGAAGUCGGAAUCGCUAGUAAUCGUAAAUCAGAAUGUUACGGUGAAUACGUUCCCGGGCCUUGUACACACCGCCCGUCACACCAUGGGAGUGGGUUGCAAAAGAAGUAGAUAGCUUAACCUUCGGGAGGGCGUUUACCACUUUGUGAUUCAUGACUGGGGUGAAGUCGUAACAAGGUAGGCGUAGUGCU